AGCGAACGCUGGCGGCAGGCCUAACACAUGCAAGUCGAGCGGCCGUAGCAAUACGGCAGCGGCAGACGGGAGAGUAACACGUGGGAACGCGCCCUUCGGUCUGGAAUAACCCAGGGAAACUUGGGCUAAUACCGGAUACGACCUUACGGGACAGAUUUAUUGCAGAAGGAACGGCCCGCGUCCGAUUAGCUAGUUGGUGAGGUAACGGCUCACCAAGGCGACGAUCGGUAGCUGGUCUGAGAGGAUGACCAGCCUCACUGGGACUGAGACACGGCCCAGACUCCUACGGGAGGCAGCAGUGGGGAAUAUUGGACAAUGGGCGCAAGCCUGAUCCAGCCAUGCCGCGUGGGUGAUGAAGGCCCUAGGGUUGUAAAGCCCUUUCAGCGGGGAAGAUAAUGACGGUACCCGCAGAAGAAGCCCCGGCUAACUUCGUGCCAGCCGCCGCCGUAACAC
rnacentral:rRNA from 1 species